rnacentral:rRNA from 1 species
GAUGAACGCUGGCGGCGUGCCUAAUACAUGCAAGUCGAGCGAACAGACGAGGAGCUUGCUCCUCUGACGUUAGCGGCGGACGGGUGAGUAACACGUGGAUAACCUACCUAUAAGACUGGGAUAACUUCGGGAAACCGGAGCUAAUACCGGAUAACAUGUUGAACCGCAUGGUUUAACAGUGAAAGACGGUCUUGCUGUCACUUAUAGAUGGAUCCGCGCCGCAUUAGCUAGUUGGUAAGGUAACGGCUUACCAAGGCAACGAUGCGUAGCCGACCUGAGAGGGUGAUCGGCCACACUGGAACUGAGACACGGUCCAGGCUCCUACGGGAGGCAGCAGUAGGGAAUCUUCCGCAAUGGGCGAAAGCCUGACGGAGCAACGCCGCGUGAGUGAAGAAGGUCUUCGGAUCGUAAAACUCUGUUAUUAGGGAAGAACAAAUGUGUAAGUAACUAUGCACGUCUUGACGGUACCUAAUCAGAAAGCCACGGCUAACUACGUG